AGAGUUUGAUCCUGGCUCAGAACGAACGCUGGCGGCAGGCUUAACACAUGCAAGUCGAACGAUCCUUCGGGAUAGUGGCAGACGGGUGAGUAACGCGUGGGAACCUUCCCUAUGGUACGGAAUAGCUCCGGGAAACUGGAAUUAAUACCGUAUAAGCCCUUCGGGGGAAAGAUUUAUCGCCAUAGGAUGGGCCCGCGUCGGAUUAGCUAGUUGGUGAGGUAAUGGCUCACCAAGGCUACGAUCCGUAGCUGGUCUUAGAGGAUGAUCAGCCACACUGGGACUGAGACACGGCCCAGACUCCUACGGGAGGCAGCAGUGGGGAAUAUUGGACAAUGGGCGAAAGCCUGAUCCAGCCAUGCCGCGUGAGUGACGAAGGCCUUAGGGUUGUAAAACUCUUUUGGCGGGGACGAUAAUGACGGUACCCGCAGAAUAAGCCCCGGCUAACUUCGUGCCAGCAGCCGCGGUAAUA
rnacentral:rRNA from 1 species